CAGGGGAGGUCCAAGAAGCCCGCGGUGGGGGUGGAGCAGCCAGGGGGGCCAAGAAAGCCGGCCGGGGCGGGCGCGGAGAGUGCUGAUGUGGCGGCCGUGGGCGGGGCGGCGGCGGCCAAGGCCAGGGAGGACGAGCAGCAGCAGCAGCGUCUCCAUGGAUGCGGCGGCGUGACGGCUUCCAGGCACGGAUCCCUCCUCCGCCUCCAUCCUCCACCUCUCUGGUCGCCCGGUUGCAACGCUGCAGCUCCUUCCUACCUUCCAUGGACGAGCUCGACGGAGACGCCGUCCAGCCCGACCAUGGCCACGACUACGCCACGCACAAGGUCCCUUCCUGCUCCCCCACCUUCUUCCAUGGUUCAAGACGCUACAUAGAUUGCUGCUGCUGUUUGUCAAAUUCAUUCCACUGAAGCCAUCUACUUCGUCCACCAACCCGCCCCGAAAGGCAGUUAUUGUGAAUUGAUGUUCGCACUGAGGCCAGAGGCGAGAGGCGAGGGCACAAAGGUCGGCGGCAAGUGCUCAGGAGAGAAGAGGAAGGCAGUGGUGGCUGCGGUUUACACGAGAGCGAGGUGACCUGCCCAGAAAGAUUGCUGAGAAGCGCAACCUUUUGAUCUUCGAGAACCGCAAGUUUGCUGACAUUGAAAACACAUUCAUUAUGCGAGACGAAUGGCUCUAGAAUCACUAAGGUUGCUCCUUCUCUGUUCCUUUGCUCCUUCCACCGUGAGGUGCAGGUGCCGCUCCGCAAGGUGCUCGAGCUCCCGAGGUCUACAUGGGCGCCUGCAAGUGGGACGAGCUGCCCUACACGCGCGUGGCGUCCACGGCCAUGCGCCAGUACAAGGAGGCGUCCUGGAUGCAAGAUUUUAAAUAGCGUCCGCUACCUCCGCUAUUGCGGCUGCAAUAGCGGUAGUGUCACCCUGCCACUAUUAGUUUAAGGUUGCGUUAGAAAAUAGCGUGUUGUCAUGAUGCGGGCGCAAUAUCACUUGUUAGACCGCUAUAUCAUCCGCUAUUCGUAAUAUCGCCCGCUAUAUACGUCCUUAUUAUUCUAUUGUGUAAUCUAUUUUGGUAAAUGUGUCUUGCUUGCAUGGUUGCACGACCAAAUAUUGUUCAAUUAUAGUUUAUAUUCCUAUAUAAAUGAUGAUUUCUCAAAUUAAGUGUCAUAUUUUUGUCAAUGGCCUAGACAUAUACACAACAAUCUCAAAUUUAUGAGUGUUUUUUAAAAAUUGGCUAUGUGGACAUAGCGCCCGCAAUAUCGCCUGCUAUCCGCAUUUUGCUAUGUGGGCCCUAAUCCGCAACCAGUCCGCUAUCCGCUAUUUAUAAGCUUGCCUGGAUGUGCUUCUUUCUUCUGGUAAUGCACUGCUCCUUAGCUUCUUUCUUUGCAUUUCUUAUGCGUCCUGGAUGUGCUUCUUUCUUCUGGUAAUGCACUGCUCCUUAGCUUCUUUCUUUGCAUUUCUUAUGAGUUUUGCGUAUGCUGCUGCCUCUGCAAUUGAUGGUAUGUGCUUUCUUUUGCUUGGUUAAUUUUGGUGUGUGUGUUUUCUGGCGCUAGAUCAUGGGGUCGGCGACGGCGGCCGGAAGCCAGGAGGGCUGGCCGAGGAAGAGGGUGAGGACGUGGGGAUUGAAGAGGGUUCCUAUGCAUAUUGUUCAGUGCAAGGGUAAAGCAUCGUCAGCAUUGUAUUGAUGUCGUCAAGUCAUGUAGACUAAUUGCAGAACAAAUCUAUACUUUCGUUGGGACUAAAAGUGAAAACGAUAAUUGGGACCAAAAUUAUGCAUUUCUAGGAAGUAAUAAAUAUGCAAAAGGAUUAUCCAUGGGAUGGAGCAGAGGCCGGCGUGGGCCGCAAGGAGCAGCAGUGGCAGAAUGGUGCUCGCUUGCCGGGCGUUGGCCCUUGGAUGAAUUCGACGCCUGAGUUGAGCUAACGAGUCCCAUGGUUUGCUAUCAAUCUCUCAAAAAGGAAAAACAACAUUACUUUGUUCUUGGGAGAAACUUCCUGUAGCGUUGCUACCUUGACAGAGAUAAAUAUGCGAUCAAGGAUAUAUUCAGUGGUUUUUCAGGAAAAAACUUGGAGGAUAUUUUUGCAGGUUCAUCGCUUGCAUUAUUGCUUUAUCAUGGUGUAUUCGUCCCUUAUCCAAGAAAGGGCCUUCUUCAUGUUUGCAGAUAGUUUGGUGCUCUCAUGGUUAUUUUGUUGAGAUUGUCCUUCUGUUCAUUAUUUGGGAACCAUCUCCUGCAGCUCAGCUACUGUCUAGCUGCUGCCCUUAUGGUGAUUGAUUAAUGGUGUAUGUUUUUCUAUUA